GCCGGGAACCAUGGAAAGGAGCCGGGACGGGAGACAGACCAGAGCGAGACCGCGAACGGCAGUAGCUCAGAGCCUCCAGUUCCCUCGCGGCUCUCCAAACCUUCCAGACAUGCUGCAGGAAGAACUCCACUCCUCUGGGCACCACGGCCUCCCACAGCACCCUGCCACAGCCAGAGACUGCUCGGGUGCACGGCUGUGGGUGCUGGAGCUCGAGCACGUGUGGGAUGGUCCAGAGCUCUCACAGGACAGCUCUUGGUGCUGAGAUUUGUCCCACUCCAUUGUUUCAUCUGCGUCCGGGAGCUGAGCCGUCCUGGGUAAAGAUGUGGAAGGCUGUGACAGGGAACACAGAGUAAGAGUGGAAAUACUGGAGGCAAAUCUUCGCUUUUCAGCGCCUACCCAACAUGUGCCUCAUCAUUUUCUUCUCCAAGUUAGCGCAGAUCAGACUCUUCCGAGGCACAGUGCCUUACAGUGAGCUUUGGUGCCUGCAAUCUCCUCCUAAUCCAGGCUUGUUUCAGGGAAAACAGGCAAUUUUAUAUCCCUUUGAUAUGGGUCUGGCUGCUAAUGAUGCUAGGAAGUAAAAAGAAAUGGGCAUAGAAAUACACAACUAGGAAGAAUUAAAAGAGUGAAUUUAAUUCAGCCAAUUCCAACAAAAUUGGUAAUUCCCUGAAAAACAAACCUUGCACAAAAAACAGAAAAGAGAAAUGGUUUCAUCUUGACAGCUGGUGAGAACAACUGGGUGAAAAGGUGAAUGGAAUACAUUUGACUUCUCUGGAAAACAAAAGGUUUCACACAUCCUGAAAAUGCCCUAUUUUUUACUAAAUGGGUCGGUUUGGGAGGGAGUGAUUGUAAAUGCUCUGCAAGGAAAGCACGGGUCUGUGCUCUGACACAACCAGUGACUGCAGAUGCCAAAUGUCUGGUUCUCAGAAAGCUUCCCUAAAGGAAAAGCUGGGACUUCUAAAAAUCACAGAAACACGGAACGGUUUGGGCUGGAAGGGAAACUCAAAGCCCACCAAGAGCAGGGACACAUUCCACUAGACUGGCCCAGAAACCUGAAGAACAACAACAACAACAAAUCCGUUGUGUUUUAAGCAUCAUAAGCCUGGCUUGCCCAGUGGUCCUGACUGGGGCUUCAGGGCGAUGCAGAGUCCGACGAGAGGACGCGAGGCUGCGGCUGUCGCCAGGCGUGUGGAGGGAGCUGGCUGGGCAGCCUGGCUCAGCUCCUCCAGCACUGGAACACUCUUUCCAGAGCAAUACCAAAAAAGGUUUGUUUCUAGGUCAGGACCUCAGCACUCAAUUUUAACCAGGGGCUGACAGUCCAAUCUGAACACAGCUGUAAAACGGAUUCGCGGGAGAAGCUUUGGCAUUCCUUUUGUAAUUAGAAAACAGCCACUGAGCCGUGUGCCUUUAAAGGUGAAAGCUAUUUUUGACAUAAAAAUUAGCACGUAGUUCCUCUGUCAUCCCUCGGCUGCUGCGCUGGGAGCUGUGAGUGAACAAUCCAAAGAUAAGCAAGAAGUAUAAACAUGCUGAAUUACACAAAUAGGUAGAAGGGGGAUCGGGUUUAAUUUGUUUUAUUCUCUGACAGUUAGGAGACGAAGACAUUUAUUUUUACACUUUUUCUCCUAAAAAGCACUGGUUAAAAGGUCCACUUAAGCACUGAAACCCCAAUGGCAUUUAAAAACUUGAAGUGCUUUUAAUAGCUGCCUUUUGAAAAUGCUGUUAAAUCUAUUUUUGAGAUGGAUAAACUAAGCUACCAAUGAAGCAGGGCAGGAGUUUUUGGAAGGGCCCAGCAGUGAGAAACUGUCGUUCAUUUCUCAACAACUCAGCUCCUGUACAGGGACCCUGAGAUAAAAACUACCACAGUGCUCGAUGCUUUAAAAACCUGAGCGUCCUUUAAACUCCAAUUUUCUCUCUUUGGUGGGAAUAUAACCCCGGCAGCCUUGAAAAUGAACCCCAGGCAGUUUUCAGGAUAGGGCUUAGAGUGGCUGUUUCUAAAAUAAAAGUGAGGGAAGAGCGAGCAGAACUUGGAGGCUUAUCAGCACCCGGAAUGCCCCGGCUAAUCCUCGGCAGCCCCGGCCCCUUUAUGUAACCUGGGAUUGCUGCAGCUCAACAGCUUACUGGGGUCUGGGUGGUUUUCUUUAAACCUCUUGUGGACAAAUGCAAACACAUUAAAUACUUCUUUCUUUUGCCUCUCUAAGGAAAAAAAAAAAUGCUGUAAGAGGGAAAAAAAAAAUUGUUUUUUUUGUAUCAAGGGCUAAUAGAAUUAAACUCGUAUGCUGAGACUAAAA